AAUAUUGGACAAUGGGGGCAACCCUGAUCCAGCCAUGCCGCGUGUGUGAAAAAGGGCUUCGGAUUUUAAAGCGCUUUAAGUUGGGAGGAAGGGCUUUAGGUUAAUACCUUGAAGUUUUGACGUUACCAACAGAAUAAGCACUGGCUAACUCUGUGCCAGCAGCCGCGGUAAUACAGAGGGUGCAAGCGUUAAUCGGAAUUACUGGGCGUAAAGCGCGCGUAGGUGGUUCAGUAAGAUGGGUGUGAAAUCCCCGGGCUUAACCUGGGAACUGCUUUCAUAACUGCUGGGCUAGAGUACGGUAGAGGGUAGUGGAAUUUCCUGUGUAGCGGUGAAAUGCGUAGAUAUAGGAAGGAACACCAGUGGCGAAGGCGACUACCUGGACUGAUACUGACACUGAGGUGCGAAAGCUAGGGGAGCAAAC
rnacentral:rRNA from 1 species